AUUUCAUUAUCUUCCCAUGCAAUGUAACCUUUUUUGGAUUUUGACUAUUUUCUACUUUUGAAGUCAUUCUUAGUGAGUUUUGGACAAUCCGUUUUCAUGUGUCAUUACUUUCCACAUUCAUAGCAAGUGACAUUUGGUGUUGAAGUGGAAAUAUCCCUUUUUCUGAAAAAUUUCUUUCUUUUUUCAUAAUUCAAGGAUUUUUCAUUAUUACCAAAU
rnacentral:lncRNA from 1 species